UUCAUGCCUAAAGCUGCAAAUAUCCAGG
rnacentral:sRNA from 1 species